UACGGCAAUUUCACGUUGAAACACCGAUCUCGUCCGAUCAGCGAAGUUAAGCAAAGUCGAGUCUAAUCAGAACCUAGAUGGGUGACCGGUUGGGAAUAUCAGAUGCUGUAA